rnacentral:lncRNA from 1 species
UCCGCUCCGGGUCUGGGACUCCCUGUCCUGGGUGGUGGAGAAAGUGUCUAGGAGGCUGGCGUUCUGCCUCCGAGCUUCCCUGGCUCACUGGCCCGGGAGACCGGCAGUGCCCGGGGAGGAAAGUGCCCAGCGGGACUAGCUUCCAACAGAGCCUACUGUUUGCCACUCCGUGAGGGCAUGAGGGGAGUGGAGGAAAAAAGACAGUGCCUGCCCUCAAAGGAGCUUACUCGGGAGUGGGGGCAACAGUCAAGUAAACCAGAAUGAAAAUACAGGAGCACAGAGAAGCAUCUAAGUCUCGCUGGGGACCUGGGAGGAUUUGAGGAAGAGGUGGCACUUGAAUUGUAUUUUAAAGGUUGAGGAGUCAUCACACACCGGAGGGGGAAGGGCACGCAGGCAGAAAGACCGGCCUUCGCAAAAGCGUGGAAGCACACGGUGCCAAAGGAUCACAGGUGCCUCUUUCCUCCGGACAGAAUCACGGGGUUCGAUGGUUGUACUCUUAUGUGAAACAGUGGGUCCACAAUUCGAGCGCCAAAUAGGAAGUAAAACAACUGUCCGAACCCUCUCUCUCAUCCUGGCCCGACGUGAGUAGGCUUCGUGGCUUGCUAGGUUACCGGAAGGGCGGAACCAUUCUACCUUACCCACGUAGAACCGCACAGGCGGGAACACCCCAGCACAGAGUAGGGAAACGUGA